AUGUCCUCCAUGCAGCUCUGGGCCAGAGACAUAGUGAGUCUAGUUCUCAGGUCACCCAUGCUGAAGGAGCACGACUGGGCUGAGCCAGACCUCCUCUCCAGGCACCUCCACGCAGGCUGGAGCACAUCCUGCAUGAACACCUGGUCUCAAAAUCCACUGGAUGUUAUGAAUUCCACUGCCAGCACAGUCCUUGAUAAGGCUGAUUACUCCUAUCACAAGAAGAUCUACAGGAAAAAAACAACUGUCAAGCUAACAAGGCCAAGAUGAGCAUCACUAAAGAAUGAAGCAUUUCGGAGAGCGAGCUUCACUUUGGGAAGCAGCUAAUAGAACUUUGCAGGGCUCUGAAAAGAGCUUAUUUGUAUUUAGGAGUUGGAGGUGAAUAAAAUCAACUCUUAUAAG
rnacentral:lncRNA from 1 species